rnacentral:rRNA from 1 species
CAGCAGUCGCCGCGGGAAUACGUAGGGUGCAAGCGUUAAUCGGAAUUACUGGGCGUAAAGCGUGCGCAGGCGGUUAUAUAAGACAGAUGUGAAAUCCCCGGGCUCAACCUGGGAACUGCAUUUGUGACUGUAUAGCUAGAGUACGGCAGAGGGGGAUGGAAUUCCGCGUGUAGCAGUGAAAUGCGUAGAUAUGCGGAGGAACACCGAUGGCGAAGGCAAUCCCCUGGGCCUGUACUGACGCUCAUGCACGAAAGCGUGGGGAGCAAACAGGAUUAGAUACCCCAGUAGUCCCUGUCUCUUAUAC